UAAUACGGAGGGUGCAAGCGUUAAUCGGAAUUACUGGGCGUAAAGCGCACGCAGGCGGUCUGUCAAGUCGGAUGUGAAAUCCCCGGGCUCAACCUGGGAACUGCAUUCGAAACUGGCAGGCUAGAGUCUUGUAGAGGGGGGUAGAAUUCCAGGUGUAGCGGUGAAAUGCGUAGAGAUCUGGAGGAAUACCGGUGGCGAAGGCGGCCCCCUGGACAAAGACUGACGCUCAGGUGCGAAAGCGUGGGGAGCAAACAGGAUUAGAUACCCUGGUAGUCCACGCUGUAAACGAUGUCGAUUUGGAGGUUGUGCCCUUGAGGCGUGGCUUCCGGAGCUAACGCGUUAAAUCGACCGCCUGGGGAGUACGGCCGCAAGGUUAAA
rnacentral:rRNA from 1 species